UACGAAGGGAGCUAGCGUUACUCGGAAUCACUGGGCGUAAAGCGCAUGUAGGCGGAUCUACAAGUCAGAGGUGAAAUGCCAAGGCUCAACCUUGGAACUGCCUUUGAUACUGGAGAUCUUGAGUCCGGGAGAGGUGAGUGGAACUGCGAGUGUAGAGGUGAAAUUCGUAGAUAUUCGCAAGAACACCAGUGGCGAAGGCGGCUCACUGGCCCGGUACUGACGCUGAGGUGCGAAAGCGUGGGGAGCAAACAGG
rnacentral:rRNA from 1 species